GGACUACCGGGGUAUCUAAUCCUGUUUGCUCCCCACGCUUUCGCGCCUCAGCGUCAGUUAAUGUCCAGCAGGCCGCCUUCGCCACUGGUGUUCCUCCUAAUAUCUACGCAUUUCACCGCUACACUAGGAAUUCCGCCUGCCUCUCCAUCACUCAAGAACGCCAGUUUCCAAUGCAGUUUAUGGGUUAAGCCCAUAGCUUGCACAUCAGACUUGGCAUCCCGCCUACGCGCCCUUUACACCCAGUAAAUCCGGACAACGCUUGCCACCUACGUAUUACCGCGGCGGCUGGCAC
rnacentral:rRNA from 1 species